ensembl:snoRNA small nucleolar RNA SNORA2/SNORA34 family
AUGGCCCUGAAUCAAGGCCAGAAGUUUUCUAAAGCUGUUGGUUUCAAGCAGGAGCCUAAAGUGGUAUCUUUCUAUGGUCUGUUGGCCAUUUCAGAACUUUAGAAAGGUAAUGGUCAAUUCAUUAGAAACAACACCU